GACGAACGCUGGCGGCGUGCUUAACACAUGCAAGUCGAACGGAAAGGCCCUGCUUGCAGGGUGCUCGAGUGGCGAACGGGUGAGUAACACGUGGGUGAUCUGCCCCUUACUUUGGGAUAAGCCUGGGAAACUGGGUCUAAUACUGGAUAGGACCAUGCUGUAGGUGGUGUGGUGGAAAGAUUAGUUUCGGUAAGGGAUGAGCUCGCGGCCUAUCAGCUUGUUGGUGGGGUAAUGGCCUACCAAGGCGUCGACGGGUAGCCGGCCUGAGAGGGUGGACGGCCACAUUGGGACUGAGAUACGGCCCAGACUCCUACGGGAGGCAGCAGUGGGGAAUAGUGCACAAUGGGCGCAAGCCGGAUGCAGCGACGCCGCGUGGGGGAUGACGGCCUUCGGGUUGUAAACUCCUUUCAGCCAUGACGAAGCCCUUGUGGUGACGGUAGUGGUAGAAGAAGCACCGGCUAACUACGUG
rnacentral:rRNA from 1 species